AUUGAACGCUGGCGGCAUGCUCUACACAUGCAAGUCGAACGGUAACAGGCCGCAAGGUGCUGACGAGUGGCGAACGGGUGCGUAAUGCAUCGGAACGUGCCCAGUCGUGGGGGAUAACUACUCGCAAGAGUAGCUAAUACCGCAUACGAUCUAUGGAUGAAAGCGGGGGACCGUAAGGCCUCGCGCGAUUGGAGCGGCCGAUGUCAGAUUAGGUAGUUGGUGGGGUAAAGGCUCACCAAGCCAACGAUCUGUAGCUGGUCUGAGAGGACGACCAGCCACACUGGGACUGAGACACGGCCCAGACUCCUACGGGAGGCAGCAGUGGGGAAUUUUGGACAAUGGGCGCAAGCCUGAUCCAGCAAUGCCGCGUGCAGGAAGAAGGCCUUCGGGUUGUAAACUGCUUUUGUACGGAACGAAACGGCUCUGGUUAAUACCCGGGGCUAAUGACGGUACCGUAAGAAUAAGCACCGGCUAACUACGUG
rnacentral:rRNA from 1 species